rnacentral:rRNA from 1 species
CAGGUCUUGACAUCCCGCUGCCCGGUGUAGAGAUACACCUUUCCCUUCGGGGACAGCGGUGACAGGUGGUGCAUGGUUGUCGUCAGCUCGUGUCGUGAGAUGUUGGGUUAAGUCCCGCAACGAGCGCAACCCUUGAUCUUAGUUGCCAGCAUUCAGUUGGGCACUCUAAGGUGACUGCCGGUGACAAACCGGAGGAAGGUGGGGAUGACGUCAAAUCAUCAUGCCCCUUAUGACCUGGGCUACACACGUGCUACAAUGGACGGUACAGAGGGUUGCCAACCCGCGAGGGGGAGCCAAUCCCAUAAAACCGUUCCCAGUUCGGAUUGCAGGCUGCAACUCGCCUGCAUGAAGCCGGAAUCGCUAGUAAUCGUGGAUCAGCAUGCCACGGUGAAUACGUUCCC